rnacentral:rRNA from 1 species
GACGAACGCUGGCGGCGUGCCUAAUACAUGCAAGUGGGACGCAAGGAAACACACUGUGCUUGCACACCGUGUUUUCUUGAGUCGCGAACGGGUGAGUAACGCGUAGGUAACCUGCCUAUUAGCGGGGGAUAACUAUUGGAAACGAUAGCUAAUACCGCAUAAUAUUAAUUAUUGCAUGAUAAUUGAUUGAAAGAUGCAAGCGCAUCACUAGUAGAUGGACCUGCGUUGUAUUAGCUAGUUGGUAAGGUAAGAGCUUACCAAGGCGACGAUACAUAGCCGACCCGGGAGGGUGGUCCGCCACCCUGGGACUGAGACACGGCCCAGACUCCUACGGGAAGCAGCAGUAGGGAAUCUUCGGCAAUGGACGAAAGUCUGACCGAGCAACGCCGCGUGAGUGAAGAAGGUUUUCGGAUCGUAAAGCUCUGUUGUAAGUCAAGAACGUGUGUGAGAGUGGAAAGUUCACACAGUGACGGUAGCUUAUCAGAAAGGGACGGCUAACUACGUG